UCUAUAUAGCAAUCUUUAACUCGUCAUGUUGCGGGAUUUUCAAAUUCGAAAAGAAGAACAUUGGGGAAGAACAGCAUGAUUUUCGAUUUGGUGACCGUAUUACUUACAGAUAAUUAUACAUUACAUAACCUUACACAAUCAAUUUACUUUUUAUGAUUAUUCUGAUAUGCAUGCCCCAUAUAUGUUAUUCCCAAAACCUUUAAAAAGGAGGAAUCCGGGUCAGGUCGUGCAAACCCAAUUAUUUUUUAUUGUGAUUAAUUACAAACUGCGCUGAAGUUUUUAAUGAUUAUUGGAUAAUUGACCUGUUCUAUAGGUACAUGUACCUAACUUACCAGGUGACAAUACAAGUUGAACCCUUGAAAUUGGUAUAAAUUCAAAUGCUUAGUGAUAUAUAAAAAAGAAGAUGUGGUAUGAUUGCCAUUAGGCAUUAUGGACUUUGCUCAUUGUUGAAGGUUUGUACAGUGACCUAUAGUUGUUAAUGUCUGUGUCAUUUUUAGAGUCUCUUGUGGAUAGUUGUCUCAUUGGGCCAAAGGGACAACUGUCCACAAGAGACCAAAAUGGCCAAUGAGACAUGUCCACAAGAGACCAAAAUGACUUAGCUGCGCAACCGUAGCUCAUAGGUCCUUAUGUUAUUUUUGACUAUUUGCAGACCAUAACAUAAGGACCUUUGAGCAUAGAUGGUCCGCAAAUAGUCAAAAAAUAACAUAAGGACCUACAUGUAUGAGCAUAGAAGGUCCGCAAAUAGUCAAAAAAUAACAAGGACCUAUGAGCUACAGUUCCACAGCUAAAAAUGACUCAGACAUUAACAGCUAUAGUCACCAUACAGCCCUCAACAAUGAGCAAAAGCCCAUACCGCAUAGUCAGCUAUAACAGGCCUCGAUAAGUACCGAUUAUCAGGUUAUGUGCAUGUUGAUAUCGUAAAAUAUCAGCUGCAAGACAUCAUAUGAAGCUUUUUGACGAGUGAGCAUAGCGAACGAGAUCAAAAAGCAUUCAUAUGAUGUCAAGCAGCUGAUAUUUUCCAAUAUCAAUAUGCAGAUAAUCUGAUAAUCAAUUUAUCAGGCUAUAUUUGCGUGUUUCAGAAGUGUCUUCUUUGUUUCACCAGCACACACAGAUGAUUUGAUAAGUUCGGGUCAAAGUUAUUAACGUCGGUUCAAACAUUAUGACGUCGCUGAUACAUGUAUGUCCGGGUCAAAGUUAAUAAGGCCGGGUCAAUGUAUUUGACGUCACAAAGACAUGAUACGGAAUAAUAUUAAGAGCUGAACAGAGUGAUAUAGACAGUGGGACGACCGAUAAGACAUAUGUAAAACAAUUCAAACGAGAAAACUUAAGAUAUGUGCAUUGUUCAUCAUGUUCAUAUUGUAUAUGAAGAUUAAUAAGAUUAAAGUAAACAAUGUGGUAUGUUUCCAAAAUAAAAGCUAUCCACCAAUGACCAACUGAUGUCGAUGCAAUUACUAGCCAUACAAAUGAUACAUACAUGUUGGUCACCAUACUUCCUUCAUUUAUAUUAUGACUUUUGAGUAAAUUUUUGCAAACAUGGCAAACCUGUACAUGUACAUGCUGUUUAUAUACAUAUUACUACAGUUCAAUGACUCAAGUUUUAAAUGCAUAAGCUUAAGGUCAUAACAGAAUUUAAACUAACUAUCAUAAUUGUAUGAACAUCAUGAUGAAUAUUUACAUUCUCUCAAAGAGUUUUAAUUUUACUUAGCUAAUACAGAAGAUGAUGGAUUCCCCAACAGAAAUCUUGAUGAUCGAACGAUUAAGGUGAAAAAAUUGAAGAAUUGCAUCAAUUGUUACAGAGAAUCGAUUUGCAAGCAGAAACAGGUGCUCAAAGAUAAGGGAAUACAACAGCCAUCCAUGAUCCUUUACAUGUAAAGUAAGUAGCUGUUCAUGAUGCUUAAAGGCAUAUACAAUCUAGUCUGGGCAUGUAAAACAGCAGCUGGUUCUAUUUUGAAAAUCUACAAAAUAGAGCUAAGGUCCUUUAAGCCAAGAAACUGCUAGUGUCUGAAGAGGACAAUUUAAGACAGGACAUGAAAAUUGAUUUAAUGUCAAGUUGGAACAGUGAUUCUGUAAAUAAACUCGCCUGAUCACAAGACCUCGGAUUUGACUGAAUCUUACAUGGAUAGACCAAAGUCAUUUACUAGACUGUAAAUACUAGAGGCAGCUGAAAGCACAAGGCACAAAGCUGAGGUCCAAGUAAAUCAGAGAGGCCUUGUCACAAGAAAUGUACAGAACUUGCAUGGUUUUUUUCCUUAAGGGUAUAUGACAAAAUAUUGAGAUAUAUGUCAAUGAAAAUUACUUUGAAUUUAAAAAAGGGCCAAUUCAAUGGUACACUUUUGGAAUUUGCAAGAACAAAAAUACCUUCAUGUUUACUUUUGAAAUAUAGUUGACAAUCUUCACUUUAAGGGGAACCUCUGAAAAUAAGUCCAAUGGAGGGGUUUGGUUUAUUGAAUUCAAUUAUUUUUUAAAGAAAAACAGAUGAAAUAUUGCUCUUAAAUUUCAACAUUUGCAUUUUGCUAUUAAAAUUAUUUACAAGUGCAGCAUAUCCAUGACAUCAGAUUAUGUUAUUGUGUUUGGUUAAGCUACAUAUUUCUUUUUACUUAAACUUUCUGUUGACUUUACUAGUUAAUAAAAUGCUGAAUAAUAAUUUGAGUGUGGCUCAUUCCAGUGUCUAGUAUUUCCUGUCAAUUUUUUUGUUGAUUUUACCAUGUUAUUUAUAAUCCCUUGGUCAAAGGGAGAUAACUUAUUGUAUUUUCACAUUAAAAUGCUGAAUAAUAAUUUGAGUGGCUCAUUCCAGUGUCUAGUAUUUGCUGUCAAUUUUUUGGAUGAUUUUACCAUAUUAUUUAUAAUCGCUUGCUCAAAGGGAGAUAACUUUUUGUAUUUUCACAAUAAAAUGCUGAAUAAUAAUUUGAGUAGGGCUCAUUCCAGUGUCUAGUAUUUGCUGUCAAUUUUUUUGAUGAUUUUACCAUAUUAUUUAUAAUCACUUGGUCAAAGGGAGAUAACUUAUUGUAUUUUCACAAUAAAAUGCUGAAUAAUAAUUUGAGUAGGGCUCAUUCCAGUGUCUAGUAUUUGCUGUCAAUUUUUUUGAUGAUUUUACCAUAUUAUUUAUAAUCGCUUGGUCAAAGGGAGAUAACUUUUUGUAUUUUCACAUUAAAUCAUCUGCGAAGAGGAUUAUGUAAAAUGUGAAUUGUUGAAAACUAAUUUUAUGGUUCAAUAAAAUCAAAAUAAGUUACUGCCAUUCAUUAUAAAUAAAUUUCUAUCAAAAAUAAGGCUCAAAGAACUUUUUAUAUUACUAAUAUUAACAAUAACAAUGUACACACAUGUUGACGUGUCAAUACACAACGUCAGAGUGGGUGUGUCACCAUAAAAUGUAAACAUUGAAAAUAAAACUGAUACUUUUAACUAAUCAGGAGACGGUUAAUACACCAAAUAUAUUUUUAAACCUAUAAACUUAUUAUUUUCUUCAAAUUUUAAGGUGCCUAUGUUUGCUAUUUGUUAUAACCCUAUUGUUAUGAUUCUUAAACCAUCUAUACAAGUAAGCAUGUUGAUUUGUCACUUACCAUUAUUUUAUUGAUUAGUUUGAAUUUGAUGAGGUUCUUCAAUGUAGAACUGGACUUAUUUAAACAAAAAAUGUUUUGUUUAUUUGUUUGAUAGUAAAAUUGUAUAACAAACAUUUGACAUUUUAUUUAAUUUAUCAUCAAAACAACUAUUUUG